CAUAUUAUCUUAUUUUAUCCUCACAACAACCUCAUGAAGUAGAUAUUAUCUCUAGUUUGCAGGAAACUAAGGGUGGCAGAGCUGAAAUGACUUGCAUAAUGUCACAUUGCUAGCUGAUGAAGGAUUUGAACUCAGAUCUUCCUGGAAAGGCCAGAGCUCUAACCCUCUACAUCACCUGACUGCCAGAAAGGCUUGGGUCCUGUCUCACUCUGAAAUAGGAACUCUUUGGCAAUAUAACAGAUUGGAGAGAAACGUAGAAUAUAAACUCCCUGAAGGACAGGGAUUGUUUACAUUCUGUCUUCGUCCCCGAAGUGUCCGGCACAGUUCUUACACAUAGUGCUCUCCUCGCACCGAGCAGAAACUUUCAAGAUGUCUUGAGUUCUCCAUGAAGAGGAAAUGACCAAAAAGGAAUGACAUAGUAAUGAUGGAUGUGACCCUGGACUGCCUUAGUCAAUCCAGGCCAAUGUACAACGCUAAG
rnacentral:lncRNA from 1 species